rnacentral:rRNA from 1 species
AUCCUGAGAGGUGAUGCGUAGCCGUAGCGGCGAAAUCCAUGAUCCUAUGCUGCCGAGAAAAGCCUCUAGCGAGCUGGUACAUGGCCCGUACCCCAAACCGACACAGGUGGUCAGGUAGAGAAUACUAAGGCGAUCGAGAGAACUGUGGUUAAGGAACUCGGCAAAAUGCCCCCGUAACUUCGGGAGAAGGGGGACCAGUCCUGGUGACGACAUUUACUGUCUGAGCUGGGGUUGGUCGCAGAGACCAGAGAGAAGCGACUGUUUACUAAAAACACAGGUCCGUGCGAAGUCGUAAGACGAUGUAUACGGACUGACGCCUCCCCGGUGCUGGAAGGUUAAGAGGACCGGUCAGCCACUUCGGUGGCGAAGCUGAGAAUUUAAGCCCCAGUAAACGGCGGUGGUAACUAUAACCAUCCUAAGGUAGCGAAAUUCCUUGUCGGGUAAGUUCCGACCUGCACGAAUGGCGUAACGACUUCUCUGCUGUCUCAACCACAGACUCGGCGAAAUUGCAGUACGAGUAAAGAUGCUCGUUACGCGCGGCAGGACGAAAAGACCCCGGGACCUUCACUAUAGCUUGGUAUUGGUGUUCGGUUCGGUUUGUGUAGGAUAGGUGGGAGACUGUGAAACUCGCACGCCAGUGUGGGUGGAGUCAUUGUUGAAAUACCACUCUGACCGUAUUGGACAUCUAACCUCGGACCAUGAUCUGGUUCAGGGACAGUGCCUGGUGGGUAGUUUAACUGGGGCGGUUGCCUCCCAAAAAGUAACGGAGGCGCCCAAAGGUUCCCUCAGCCUGGUUGGCAAUCAGGUGUUGAGUGUAAGUGCACAAGGGAGCUUGACUGUGAGACGUACAUGUCGAGCAGGGACGAAAGUCGGGACUAGUGAUCCGGCACCGGCAAGUGGAAGCGGUGUCGCUCAACGGAUAAAAGGUACCCCGGGGAUAACAGGCUGAUCUUCCCCAAGAGUCCAUAUCGACGGGAUGGUUUGGCACCUCGAUGUCGGCUCGUCGCAUCCUGGGGCUGGAGUAGGUCCCAAGGGUUGGGCUGUUCGCCCAUUAAAGCGGCACGCGAGCUGGGUUUAGAACGUCGUGAGACAGUUCGGUCUCUAUCCGCCGCGCGCGUAAGAAACUUGAGGAAACCUGUCCCUAGUACGAGAGGACCGGGACGGACGAACCUCUGGUGUGCCAGUUGUUCCACCAGGAGCACCGCUGGUUAGCUACGUUCGGAAGGGAUAACCGCUGAAAGCAUCUAAGCGGGAAGCCUGUUCCAAGAUGAGGUUUCUCACCACCUAGCGUGGUUAAGGCCCCCCACAGACCAUGGGGUUGAUAGGCCAGAACUGUAAGCACAGCAAUGUGUUCAGGUGACUGGUACUAAUCGGCCGAGGACUUC